UACGUAGGGGGCAAGCGUUGUCCGGAAUCAUUGGGCGUAAAGCGCGCGUAGGCGGUCCGAUAAGUCUGCUGUGAAAAGUCGGGGGGCUCAACCCUCGGAUGCCGGUGGAUACUGUCGGGCUUGAGUGCGGAAGAGGCGAGUGGAAUUCCUGGUGUAGCGGUGAAAUGCGCAGAUAUCAGGAGGAACACCGAUGGCGAAGGCAGCUCGCUGGGACGGUACUGACGCUGAGACGCGAAAGCGUGGGGAGCAAACAGG
rnacentral:rRNA from 1 species